UGGCGGUUAAAAGUAUCUCGCGUUGCACACGCGAGUUCCCACAGGGGAACACCUACAAUUACAGGCUAUUACAAACUGGUCGUGAGUCUGUUUCACGGCUAUGGUUUUUACAAGCUGGCCGGAGGUGGUGAAUCAGACGAAAAAGGAUGUAAUGGGGCUGCGAAGGCGAGUUCGUUGAUUCGACGUGAACGUGGAGAGAAAUAGUAUGCAGCAAAAAAAAGAACAUUCGCCAACUUACUCAAUCCAUCCAUUGUCUCUCUAACUUGAUUUCAAACAUAAAUCAUAUCAAGCUGCAAAGAAUUAAAAUUGAUCCUUCUUUAUAGCAACUUUUUUUAUAGAUUCGAGGAGAGCACACGUUAAAGUUUAUUCUUGUAUUUCAUAAGUAUUAUUGCUCGAACAUAUGCGAUUUGGAAAUUGUGAUGAACUAUAUUUUAUCUAUCGUCAAGGAUAAAUAAUUUUCCUCGUUCGAGGGGUUUGAAGGAGAAACAUUGCGGCAUCGAUCGUCCUCGAACCGUUUCGUCGUAUGAAACGAGAUAACGAGGGAAAUAAUGGCACGCCAAAGUGCACUUCAGACGGUUGCGUACUCGGGUAUUCUUCGCCGCUUGUCGAUCGGUGAACGCGAUGUUUAAGGAUCGAUCGAUCUCGUUGUGUGCUUGUGGAUGAUUUAUCAGCCAACCGAUAUAAAUUUCGCAGCGUGUAUUAAAGCAGACGUAAUCCUCCCUUCAAUGUCCGCAAUUUAGGAACAAUUUAAAUUUAAAGUCGGAAACAGCUGGGAGAAUUGUGCAAACUCGAGAAACUCGAGGUAAUUUGCAGAUGAUUGUUGGGAAAGCGGUUCGAUUGAUUCAAUCGGUUUCACGAUCUUUACGUAUUUUAAGUUUCUAAAGACAUAUUAUAGCAUAAAUAAUUCCAAAACUUUUUCAAUUGGUCGGUUACGAAAGCUGUAUAGAUUUCUUAUCAAAUUUAUCAUCAUAUUAUCUCAAUUGAUUCGGGAAUCGAUUUCGUUAUUAUUUUUUUUAGUGUCUCAGAAAUUGCAGGUCCAAUUUCUAAAAAUUGGCGAGGAUAACCAAGUUUGAUGAAUAUAAUCAUUUAAAAAAAAAUUCCAUCUGCUUUAUCUCAACUUUCGAAUUACAUUUGUUCGGUAUUUUUUGAUGCAGUGUUCGAUGUUACUUAAAAAAGUAAAUAUCGAAAAUUUUAACACGUGUCUCAUUAAAUAUAUCGAUAUAACUUUAAGACAAAAAUUCCAAAUAAAGAAACAACACGAUAUCUACUCGAGGCAAAAACUUUUCAACGCUGGAAAAGUAUUCCUAGAAGUGGCGUAACGUAAUAAUCCGCGAAGAAGAACGGACGCAGUCGGCUGACCAAGGAGACGAGGCUGAAAGAGGACGAAGACGAAGAAGAAAAAGAAGAAGAAGAGGAGGAGGAGAAGGAGGAAGAAGGAGGCCGGGAACAAAUUAUAUAAAAGGACCACACACGGUGCACAAGAGGGGGCAAGGAGGCCUCGGACUGCUCGAGCAUGUGGUACAGGCGAAAUAUAUACGACUUCUCCGUGACUAUGCCCGGGGAUUUACCUUACGUCCAGCGUUUGAAUCGCUCGUUUAGGAUGAAAAGGAUCGGUGGCUCGACAGCUCUGCGCCACGUGGGUGGUGCGAGCGCCAACCGACCCCGGAAGGAUCUCACGCUACCCCCGCCAACGAGAUCCCUCCGAGAUUUAAUACGACUCGUCCGCGGCGACACUGGCAAAUCGUCGAAAAGAAGCGGCGAGAUCUCUCUCUUUUUUUAAUUAAUCUCACCUUUCGUGAUUUUUCUCCCGAUAAAAUAAAAUUUUACUCGAAUCGAACGGCAAAAGUUAUCCGCUCAUGGAUCGAAAUAAUGAAAUAAACAGAGAUUGUGAAAACUGGGAGGGGGGAAAGGAGAGCAUAAGCGUUGCGUCUGGGUUCAUCGACUUGUUUACCCGACACGCACGAUCCUUUUUGCACGGAAGCAGAGCACAGAGGAGAACGCUCCGAGUUUCGAUUUUCCUUACUCUCGUUUUAUCAUGGGUGUCGUGUUAUGCGUCUUUCGCCCGCGACGUUGGCGGAAAUCGACGCGCUAUAAUCAGACCGACUCGCCGAUUAUUAUUCAUGCCGUUGCGCGUGACUUUAUACUCGAUAAUGUAUGCACAAUGCAGCCGCGGGGAUGCGAGCUGAAAUAUUGGCCGGAAGAGAAAUUCCGCACGCGACCGUAAUUGCGUUUUCGCGAUGAGAGGGGAUCACGGCGACAAGGACGGUGAUGCCAGAUCGAUUUAUCGACCGAGAUCUCUUUCGCUUUCUCGACCCUUUUUUGCUCUGUUCCGUGCCAAUCGAAGAUUAUACGCGUGUAUCGAUAUGUUCUGCGAGUUACACCGGUAACCAGAAGCACGAGGAGAUUUAUCGUCUCGUGUUUCGAUGGUGUUACAGAUCCUUCUGUCAGAUUUUUCUAUCAUUUGUGAUACAAUUUUUAUAUUUCAAUAUAAUAAUAUAAUUAAUCAUCCAAAUUAAUUUACUUCUCGUGAUAUUCAUAUUCACAAAUUUGACUCUUGACUCGACGAAUCAUUCGAUACACUUGCUUAUCUGAAACAAUUCAUCUCCCAAUUAAAUCGGAUGAUCAAAUGUAUAUUUAAUUCGAUUGAUGGUCGGAUUAAGAAAUGCGAAUAGUGGCUGUGAAAGAUAAUAUUUUUUGCACAAUUAUAAAAAUAAAAUGUAGAACAUUGUAACACACCUAUACAUUUCGUUUGAAAAUAAAAAAAAUGUGAUUAA